ACGAACGCUGGCGGCGUGCUUAACCCAUGCCAGUCGAACGGAAAGGCCCUGCUUUUGUGGGGUGCUCGAGUGGCGAACGGGUGAGUAACACGUGAGUAACCUGCCCUUGACUUUGGGAUAACUUCAGGAAACUGGGGCUAAUACCGGAUAGGAGCUCCUGCUGCAUGGUGGGGGUUGGAAAGUUUCGGCGGUUGGGGAUGGACUCGCGGCUCAUCAGCUUGUUGGUGGGGUAGUGGCUUACCAAGGCUUUGACGGGUAGCCGGCCUGAGAGGGUGACCGGCCACAUUGGGACUGAGAUACGGCCCAGACUCCUACGGGAGGCAGCAGUGGGGAAUAUUGCACAAUGGGCGGAAGCCUGAUGCAGCAACGCCGCGUGCGGGAUGACGGCCUUCGGGUUGUAAACCGCUUUCGCCUGUGACGAAGCGUGAGUGACGGUAAUGGGUAAAGAAGCACCGGCUAACUACGUG
rnacentral:rRNA from 1 species